rnacentral:misc_RNA from 1 species
UUAGCUAAGCAGAUCGUGUA